CAGUCGCCGCGGGAACACAGAGGGUGCGAGCGUUAAUCGGAUUUACUGGGCGUAAAGCGUGCGUAGGCGGCUUCUUAAGUCGGAUGUGAAAUCCCUGAGCUUAACCUAGGAAUUGCAUUCGAUACUGGGAAGCUAGAGUAUGGGAGAGGAUGGUAGAAUUCCAGGUGUAGCGGUGAAAUGCGUAGAGAUCUGGAGGAAUACCGAUGGCGAAGGCAGCCAUCUGGCCUAAUACUGACGCUGAGGUACGAAAGCAUGGGGAGCAAACAGGAUUAGAUACCCCAGUAGUCCCUGUCUCUUAUAC
rnacentral:rRNA from 1 species